GAACGCACAUUGCGCCCUUCGGUAUUCCGUUGGGCAUGCCUGUUCGAGCGUCAUUUAAACCUUCAAGCUAUGCUUGGUGUUGGGUGUUUGUUCCGCCUCAGUGUGUGGACUCGCCUCAAAUUCAUUGGCAGCCGGUAUGUUGGCUUCGUGCGCAGCACAUUGCAAGCGACUUCAGCAAACCUCCUUCCACAAGCCUUUUUUUACUUUGACCUCGGAUCAGGUAGGGAUACCCGCUGAACUUAAG
rnacentral:misc_RNA from 1 species